rnacentral:rRNA from 1 species
AGUGAACGCUGGCGGUAGGCCUAACACAUGCAAGUCGAACGGCAGCACAGUAAGAGCUUGCUCUUACGGGUGGCGAGUGGCGGACGGGUGAGGAAUACAUCGGAAUCUACUUUUUCGUGGGGGAUAACGUAGGGAAACUUACGCUAAUACCGCAUACGACCUACGGGUGAAAGCAGGGGAUCUUCGGACCUUGCGCGAUUGCAUGAGCCGAUGUCGGAUUAGCUAGUUGGCGGGGUAAAGGCCCACCAAGGCGACGAUCCGUAGCUGGUCUGAGAGGAUGAGCAGCCACACUGGAACUGAGACACGGUCCAGACUCCUACGGGAGGCAGCAGUGGGGAAUAUUGGACAAUGGGCGCAAGCCUGAUCCAGCCAUACCGCGUGGGUGAAGAAGGCCUUCGGGUUGUAAAGCCCUUUUGUUGGGAAAGAAAAGCAGCAGGUUAAUACCCCGCUGUUCUGACGGUACCCAAAGAAUAAGCACCGGCUAACUUCGUG